rnacentral:tRNA from 1 species
GCUGGUUUAGCUCAGAGGCCAGAGCGUUCGCCUUGUAAGCGAAGGGUCGGGGGUUCGACUCCCUCAAUCAGCACCA